CAUCUAUCUGCACUGGAAAUGUUGAGAGGGCCUUUGCUUGCUGAAAAUGGGGCAGGAGUCUAAGCAGAGGGAACAAUAAUGGAAGAUCCGUGAGGUCAAGAACUGUGUUUUGUGCACUGCUGCAUCCCCGCUUCUUAGAGGAACAUGUGCCAUAUCGAUGUUUAAUGAAUAAACAAAGGAAUGCAAUACAAGAUGACAUAACAUGGUCAAUCGACCAUGAAAAAUACACUGGAAGAUAACUAAGAAGAAUUUAAUCAGAAAACUGUGAAUUUGGAACUGAAUGUAGUAACUGAAAACAUCUUGAAGUUGUCUGUCUUUGAGGAAGGAGUGGGUACAUUUUCAUUUAUAUAUGGGAUAGUUCUCUUUCUUAAGAAAGUAAUAUUUCUGGAAUUUAUGAAAAUAAGGGUUCAGGAAUGCACAGGGCAGCCAAGGGGUGGAAUGUAGUGGUGAGAGCACAUCUAUUUUCUUUGGGUCUACUAAUUCCCCUCCCCAUUUCUAUGUGUUCACACUGGGAUUGUCCAUCAUGAUGGACCAUCAUGAUGAUGGACCAUCCCAAUGUGAUUGUCCGCCCUCAUUAGUUACAAGGUGUUUCAGUUAUCCAUUGCUGUGUAACAGAUGACACCAAAACUUAGUGGCUUAAAACAACCAUAACGCAUUAUAUCCCAUGAUUUGUGGGUUGGCUGGAUUAGCUUGGCCCUGCUGCUGUUCUGUGUGAUUGUUGUGGUACAUUCUGCAGGUAACUCAUCUGCUGGGAUAUAUCCAGGAUGGCCCCGAAAGACUAAAAAUGAAAGCUGCAAGGUCUCUGACGACAUAAUCCCAAAAGUUAUACAGUGCCACUUCCACCACAUUCUAUUGGUCAAAAUGAAUCAAAAGGCCAGCUCAGAUUCAAGAGGAGAAACAUAGACUGUGCCUCCCUCUUAAGGAGAGGAGCAGUACGCAUAGACAAGGAUGAGAGAAUGUUGGUAGAUCUCUUUGCUGAUGAUGUAUUACACUUCACCCUGGCUACAAAUAUUUAUGUCUCUCAUGUGUACAAAAUACUCUCAGACCCUUGCAAGAUCCCUGAAGUCUCAUCCAAUCAUGGCAUAAGGCUGCUCCAAGUCCAAAAUCUCAUCAUGUAAUGAGGUCUAGGUGCAGAUUAAACUUCUUAGGUGUGAUUUCUUGAAUGUAAUGCCUUGGGUGCAACACCACUUGAUCCAGUGGCCUGGGCACUAAAAAAAAAAAAUGAUCC
rnacentral:lncRNA from 1 species